GCAUUCCUGUGGGGAUUUAACAGAUGCUGGAUGUCCUCAUGCAGAGCGUGACGACGCCUGGCAAGCAAAAAGCGCCUCUAGUGGCCGUCUGGUAGAUAGCUACUAGAGGCUGUCUUAGUGCUGCAAUGUAAACAUCGCAGUUUCUCUAAAACGAACAUGUUUUACAUUGUAGGAGUAAAAGCAAUAGGGACACUGCACACAGACCAUUUCAAUAAGCUGUAAAUGGUCUGGGCGCCUAUAGUGUCUCUUUAAGUUAACUUUAAAGUGAACCUCUCAUGCAAAUUUUCAUUUACCUGAAAUCGC